UGACUCUCUCCUGGUACAAAGGAAACAGUUUAUUGUCCAGCAUCAGUGUGUCUGAUCUCAGCAUCAGUCUCUCUCUACCUCUGGAGGUGGAAUAUCAGGAUAAAAACACCUACAGCUGUGUGCUGCUGAACAAUUCAUACACCAACCAGACGAGACAUCUGGACAUCACUCACCUCUGUCACACAUGUGUAGUUCCUCCAGUCUCUCUGAUAGCGUUGAUCUCUGUUGGAUCUCUGUUGAUUGUUGCUGCCGUCGGGAUCUUCUACAUCUGCAGGAAAUGUAAAAUUGAAAAAGAAGUUCAAGCAGCUGAGACUCGUGAGGAAGAGAUCACUUACGCUGAGACGACAUUCUACAAGAGAAACUCACAGAAAUCAAAAGUUGAAGAGGACGAUUGUGUGGAUUAUGCACCAAUCACAAUGAGAAGAUGAUCAAACUUCAAUCUUUUUCUAAGCAUAAGUCCCAGAUUAUGAUCAUUUUCAUAGGAAACCAUUUCUAGUCUAUUGUCUAUUGUUGAGUUUUGGGAUUGUGAGAAUCAUCGUGUUAUAUCAGGAAAUCACAGCAGACAGAGAGAGUAUGAUUAUCCUAAAGGGGUUUAAAGUGUGAUAAUUUGCAAUGGAUUAAUUAAAUGGUCUCCUAAAUUUUCCUUAAUGGUACAAGAACUUUAUUAUUAUUAUUAUUAUUAUUAUUAUUAUUAUAUAAAUCGUUAUGGUCCAUUGAACAUUUUCAUGUUUUACUCUAAAAGUCAAAAGUGCAAAACGUAGAUGCAAACUUCUCAUUAAAAGGAGUCAAAGUGAACCUGCUGUGGUGUUAUUUAUUCAUUUAUUCACAUGGGUACAGAGAUGUGGUUUGAUCUGUUGGGUAGACAAACAGCUUGUGCAUGAGAAUGCAUCUCCUUUAGGUUUGUGUUUGAUGUCAGUUUGUGAUUGCAUCUGUGAGGUGUGAAAAGUGUGUCUGUGAAUGUGUCUGAGGUGUCAGACUGUAUGAUAGCAUGUUUUUCCAUUCCUGCUCGCAUGAAACCAUUGACUUGCUCUACAGAGAAGCCACUUCACUUCAAAACACUAAAAUCAUUAGUCUCAAAUCAAAGUGAUACUGCUGUGAAAAAUGAAAAUAUCAUAUCUGUGUGCAUAUACAUGAUUAUCUUAUGUACUCAUAACGUGAUCCUGUAGUUAAGCAGUGCUACACUCUUGCUAGUGCUGGAAAUAACUACUGAAACUACACUCUCAGAGAGAAAAAAGCUGUCACUGGUGGCACAUUAAGAGGGUGGCCCGAGUGAAAACCUAUACCUUUAGUUUCAGUAGUUAUUUCCAGCCCUAGCAAGAGUUUGGUGUAUCCAAAAUGGUCAAUGUUUAUGAUAAUGUCUUUAUUAAUAUUUUGUUUUAUAUUAUUUUUUGUACUGUAUAUUAUUGUUAUUUUACAUGUUAUUGAUUUCCUUAAUCAUUUACAUAUUUAAUCUACUACAGUAUAUGCUCUAAUAUGUUUAAAUAUUUCCAAAUGUCAGAUCGUUUGGUGUCUCUUCUGUGCUGUGAGAUUGAGUGGGUGUAUUUUAGAUUAGAAUGAAUUAUGUACCUUUGUAUCAAAAUAUGUCUGUUUCCAUUUUGUCAGAUAUGAGAUCAUGUAAGAUCUGCAAUUUUCUCUUAAAGGUGUCAAAACAACACCUUCUGUAUCUAAUCUCAUCUAUCUUUGACAUUUGACUAGUCACUCUAACCUAGCCAUUACACCAACUAUGACAUAAUGGAUAAGUCUGUUUGACCUUUUCUUAUUAGACUAAAAGAAGUUUAAGGGGGUGUAAGUUUCCUGCAUAUAUAGCCAAUGCUCUUAUUUUACUCUAGAAGUUUAUAUUUUUAUUUAAUAAAUUUAUUGUUCCUUAAUCAAAUU